rnacentral:rRNA from 1 species
GCGAACGCUGGCGGCAGGCCUAACACAUGCAAGUCGAGCGCCCAGCAAUGGGAGCGGCAGACGGGUGAGUAACGCGUGGGGAUCUGCCCAAUGGUACGGAAUAACCCAGGGAAACUUGGAUUAAUACCGUAUGUGCCCUUCGGGGGAAAGAUUUAUCGCCAUUGGAUGAACCCGCGUCGGAUUAGCUAGUUGGUGUGGUAAAGGCGCACCAAGGCGACGAUCCGUAGCUGGUCUGAGAGGAUGAUCAGCCACACUGGGACUGAGACACGGCCCAGACUCCUACGGGAGGCAGCAGUGGGGAAUAUUGGACAAUGGGCGCAAGCCUGAUCCAGCCAUGCCGCGUGUGUGAUGAAGGCCUUAGGGUUGUAAAGCACUUUCGCCGGUGAAGAUAAUGACGGUAACCGGAGAAGAAGCCCCGGCUAACUUCGU